rnacentral:lncRNA from 1 species
CUGCCUUAGAAGGAUGAAAGGUUGAGGCAGCUCUGUGAGCAUUUGACACUGAGUCCAGGAAUCUAAUUUUGUCCAGCCUGAUGAUGAGACUCUUAAAUCAUCCCCUCUGGCCUUUUAAUUAAAGCAAUCGGGCACAAAACUGGCAGCAGAACCACUAAUGGAGAGCAUUUCCAGCUGAGGCUGAAAAUUUAAGAUGAAAAGAUGGUGUGGAGCACAGGAGAAACAACUCUAUCUUUCUUGUGAUCUUGAGAUGGUAAGAGAAGCCGUCAACCUACAGCCUGCUGGGAAGGAGCUAGAGGUUGUGUGAUGCCACAGAGCAGGAGAGGAGCAGAAGUUCACAGUUAGUGAUCAGUGGUGGUGUAAUGCCCUAGACUCUGGACUCAGUGCUGAAGGAACCCUGGACAUUUCUGGCAUUGGGUAUCAUCUUACUUUACCAUGUGACUAGAGAAAAAAGGAGCAGAAGCUAAGUAUGUCAAAGGAAAUCACUGAAAGAUUACAAAGGUAGUGAAGAAUGAACAUACUGAACCACCAUCAGGUUGGCCUUGGAUCUGCCUCCCCGCUCCUGGAUGUCUGGGUAAGAACUGUGCUGUCUGACCCUGACCAGUCUCUGGACUCGAUCCUUACCCAGACUUGCUUUGCAUCCUGCUUCUUGGUCAGUGGGCUCACUGAUUUCACUGGAACCACGGUCAUGUUCAGCUCAUAAUUCAUCUUCCCAUGCAGAGCAGCCAGCCCUCACUGUUCCUGAAAACCAUCGAGUACAAGCUAUCAAAGUCAGUCAGUUUGGAAGUCUGAGCCAAUGAUGCCUUUGUUGUUUGAGCUGAUGGUGACUUUGUUGUAGAUGAUAAACACGAAGCUCUGACAUCUCUAAUAUGAGGGAUGAACUAUCACAUCGCUAUAUCCACCAUCAGCUGCAUUUGGAAAUGGAUCCAGGUAGGAGGUUAAAAACCAUGAUUUGAAACCAUGGCUACAAGUACCAGUAAGCAUGAUUUUUUGUUUUGUUUUUAGAGGGUGUUUUUUAGGUUUCUGUGGUAGAUCUGGACUGAAAGGUAAAACAAAAUGAAUAGUUUGGAAAGACCAUUAUCCACAUGGUAAAUGGGUAUUUCUGACUUAGUGAUUACUCUGACAAAAGUUUACUCUGCUAUAUAAGCAGUUGUUAUCAUCACAGAGCUUCUGUGAUGGCAUAUAAUGUGCUGAAUAAAGCAUGUUACACUGUGGAAGAGCUUUGAGAU